GGGCAAGUGACCUGAAACGAGAGGAGAGUUAUUUUUCAAACUAAAUCAUGAAAUUCACAAGACACAAAAAAAACAAGACAAGACAUCCCUUACCACGGUGUGACAGGGACAGUGGUCUGAGAGGACAUCAGAAGAGUAAUGAGGCCCUUACUCUUUCUCCUGGAAGCUGCAGUUCCAGUCUGAGGCUCGCUGAAACAAAUAAAGCUUUUUGUUCGACGAUUCCUCGUUGGCGUCUCCUUGGCUCAUCACCCAUCACACAGUCACUCUGUUCUGGGAGAGUGACACCAUCAACAAAUAUACAACAUUGGUAAAAAAAAUAAAAAAAUCAAAAGAUGAUUCACUAACAAACUAGCCUCAAAGCCAAACAUAACAUACAUCAAGGGUACGGAUGAGAAAUCUACUUGUUGAUGUUUUUUCCUGCAGAGUCAUGAUGUGUUUCUUCUGGCUCUUGACUCCAGGAUAAGGCGGACGGUGCCCUCCGUGAUUUAAUACCACAUGACUUUCGCCGAGGUGCUCACGCAUGACAGAGCGGGUGGAGCCUCUCGGUGUGUCUGAGCGCGGACUUUUCAAACGCACCAGCAGAAAACGCGGCGGCGGAUGUUAUGGCGUGCAACGACGACGACGACAACAAGGCGUCUCGCCUGUGAAAGUUGCAUGCUUGUGGGGGUCCAACUGGCGAUGGCACUGAUUACAGCGCCGUGGAGGAGGCUGACUGAUAAGCCAGUUAAUUGUUAAUCAGACAGCAGCAGAAGCAGCUCUUAAAUUAGACGCAUGAAUAGAGCCCUUGUCGGUGUGGACCUCAGCCUCUCCUCCGUGCCGCACAGAUAGAUGCAUGAAGGGGAUGGAUUUUUUUGGUCUUUUUUUUCCCGCCUCCAUGUUGCCGGGCAAAAUUCAGAUGAGGUCACAAUCAAUUGCUCCCUGAGGCCCGAUAAAAGUCGGCCAGUCAUGCUCACGUUGGUGUUUCCUUGACAACCUGAGGUAGAGGGGCUUCACUGCCCCGCAAGGACAAGGAGAGAUGGCAGGGACUAGGGUUGUACCGUUUCCAAAAUGUAUGUCCAUACUUUUCGGUACUUUUCUAAAUAAAGGGGACCACAGACAAA